AAUGAUCGAAACCAUGGAUCUGAGACCUGUGGAUACAAGGAUAUGCCUUUCAGGAGAUAAAGCGAAGGAAUGAUGGAGUAAUACAGGGUUGCCAAGCAGUUUACAGACCAGAUAUUAUAGCAGAUAUAUCCCAGUUGUAGCCCAAGGCUAAUCUUUGCAUGCGCAUACCAUGCAGGGCUAUACUUAGAGAGUAAAAUCUGGAGAUGACCUUCAGACCAUCUCUUUUGCUGCACUAGUGUCUGAGACAAGGUGAUUGGUGCAACACCUAAGAAUGCCUUCCUUUCAGGGUUGAGGUAAACUGAUUUCCAUCCUUUGCAUUGGAUUAACAACCCUGUAAUCACAUCUUCCACUAGACACCCAUAUUUAAGUCCUAUCUCAUUUCCCCAUUCAGUGUUUUGCUCGUAAGUACAGCUUGCAAGAGGCUUUGUUUCUUCUUCUAAUUCUUGCAUACUCUUUUGUAUCUUAUUUUCAUCAUCUUUCUUCCAUUGAAACUUAUAAUCUUUAGUGAAUUUCCUUCCACAAAGAACAUCUCUCCUGUGAAAGCAGCCACUUCCAAUGUAUAAAGGACCUCCGAAACCAUCAACACCAUGAAAUUC
rnacentral:misc_RNA from 1 species